AACGUACGCUGGCGGCACGCCUAACACAUGCAAGUCGAACGAAGUAGCAAUACUUAGUGGCAGACGGGUGAGUAACAUGUAGGUAUCUGCCCUUUGGCCUGGAAUAACACGAGGAAACUUGUGCUAAUACCGGAUAAGUCUUUACGGAGAAAGCUUUAUGCACCAUUGGAUGAGCCUGCACUUGAUUAGUUUGUUGGUGGGGUAAUGGCCUACCAAGACUGUGAUCAAUAGCUGAUUUGAGAGGAUGAUCAGCCACAUUGGGACUGAGACACGGCCCAAACUCCUACGGGAGGCAGCAGUGGGGAAUCUUGCACAAUGGAGGAAACUCUGAUGCAGCGAUGCCGCGUGAGUGAAGAAGGCCUUUGGGUUGUAAAGCUCUUUCGUCGGGGAAGAAAAUGACUGUACCCGAAUAAGAAGGUCCGGCUAACUUCGUGCCAGCAGCCGCGGUAAUACGAAGGGACCUAGCGUAGUUCGGAAUUACUGGGCUUAAAGAGUUCGUAGGUGGUUGAAAAAGUUGGUGGUGAAAUCCCAGAGCUUAACUCUGGAACUGCCAUCAAAACUUUUCAGCUAGAGUAUGAUAGAGGAAAGCAGAAUUUCUAGUGUAGAGGUGAAAUUCGUAGAUAUUAGAAAGAAUACCAAUUGCGAAGGCAGCUUUCUGGAUCAUUACUGACACUGAGGAACGAAAGCAUGGGUAGCGAAGAGGAUUAGAUACCCUCGUAGUCCAUGCCGUAAACGAUGUGUGUUAGACGUUGGAAAUUUAUUUUCAGUGUCGCAGCGAAAGCGAUAAACACACCGCCUGGGGAGUACGACCGCAAGGUUAAAACUCAAAUGAAUUGACGGGGACCCGCACAAGUAGUGGAGCAUGUGGUUUAAUUCGAAGAUACGCGCAGAACCUUACCAACACUUGACAUGUUCGUCGCGACUCUAAGAGAUUAGAGUUUUCGGUUCGGCCGGACGAAACACAGGUGCUGCAUGGCUGUCGUCAGCUCGUGUCGUGAGAUGUUGGGUUAAGUCCCGCAACGAGCGCAACCCUCACUUUUAGUUGCCAUCAUUAAGUUGGGCACUCUGAAAGAACUGCCAGUGAUAAGCUGGAGGAAGGUGGGGAUGACGUCAAGUCCUCAUGGCCCUUACGUGUUGGGCUACACACGUGCUACAAUGGUAUCUACAACAGGAAGCAAAACUGCGAAGUUAAGCAAAUCCCGAAAAGAUACCUCAGUUCGGAUUGCACUCUGCAACUCGAGUGCAUGAAGCUGGAAUUACUAGUAAUCGUAGAUCAGCGUGCUACGGUGAAUGCGUUCCCGGGUCU
rnacentral:rRNA from 1 species